UACGGAGGGUGCGAGCGUUGUCCGGAAUCACUGGGCGUAAAGGGCGCGUAGGUGGCACGGGUAGUCGUCGGUGAAAGCUCAGGGCUCAACCCUGAGUCGGCCGGUGAUACUCCCGAGCUCGAGUGUGGUAGAGGCCAAUGGAAUUCCGGGUGUAGCGGUGGAAUGCGUAGAGAUCCGGAAGAACACCGGUGGCGAAGGCGGUUGGCUGGGCCACAACUGACACUGAUGCGCGACAGCGUGGGUAGCAAACAGG
rnacentral:rRNA from 1 species